rnacentral:lncRNA from 1 species
AAGCAUCGUGAGCCGGCGUAGUUUGUAAACCGAAAUAAGCCAAAAAAAAACAGUCACGAAAUCUGAGUGUUAGCGGGUCCGGAUCUCGAGAGAUUAGUAAUAUUACAGAAUCAAAACAAACAUCUUGAAGUUGUUUUUCAAUAUAUCUUGAAAGAUAAUUCCUUGGUACAAAAUCAUGGUUGCCGUCAAUUUUGGGACAGUCACAGCCACGACAAGAAAAUAAAGAAAAGUAAGGAAGAAUGAAGUAAGAAAGGGGUUGAAUAAAUAGGAAGCCAUAUUCAAAGAAAGUAGAAAAUGAAGAAAAGGAACUAUUUAGAGAAUUAGAAAACAGUCCCCAACUUUACUAAACUAAAUCUUUGUGUAACAAAA